UACAGAGGGGGCAAGCGUUGUUCGGAAUUACUGGGCGUAAAGGGCGCGUAGGCGGCCGCCUAAGUCAGACGUGAAAUCCCUCGGCUCAACCGGGGAACUGCGUCUGAUACUGGGUGGCUUGAAUCCGGGAGAGGGAUGCGGAAUUCCAGGUGUAGCGGUGAAAUUCGUAGAUAUCAAGCGGAACACCGGUGGCGAAGGCGGCCUUCUGGACGAUGACUGACGCUGAGACGCGAAAGCGUGGGGAGCAAACAGG
rnacentral:rRNA from 1 species